CCAAUUUUCAAACAAACUUUGUACAAAGUAUCAUUAGGUGAAGUGAAUUUCAAUUUGUUCAAAUGAAGGGCCACCUUUUCUUCCAAUGGGAGAUUAUUAAGAAAGUGAAAAUUGGAUGAACCACAAUCUCAAAAACUGCUUGGCCAGAAAAUAUUAAACUUUUGUGAAGACUUUGACAAACCGGUAGUGUAGAUUCACGAAAAAAUGGGCAAUGAUUGUCAUUCAAAGUUUUACAUUAAAAUACAAAAGAAAAAAAAAAGAGAAAUCUUCUCAAAACUAGUCAAUUUAUAUAGAAGCAUCAUCAGGUAGUGUAUAUUUAACAUUGUUCAAUUCAUGACCCCAAGGGAUACAGUGGGACCCAGUUUUACAUACCAUUGUCAUCUAAGUUUCUUCAAAUCAUGUUCCCCAUGGGUAGGAUAGGCCAUAAAGGCCGAUCAAUAUUUUACAAAGAAAUACUUUAUAAAAAAGUAUUAAAUAUCUGCUUUUCAAGAACAACAAAGAUAUAAUUUGUCAUAUUUAUAUUGGAAGCAUCCUCUAGUCGGGUAGUUUCUAAUUUGUUCAGAGCAGGACCUCUGGAGGUGGGAUGAGGCAUCAAUAUCUGAUUGAAGUUUUUUAAGGAUAGAAAUAGUCUCAAUUAGAUAGGAAAAAAUUAUUUGGUUUGAGGGCCAUUAUUUCCUCAGGUGAGUGUUGUGGCCCAUUGGCCUUUUGAUGGUUUUUUUGUAAUUAAAUUUGUAUGUCAGUCACCCUCAAUUUGAUGUACUUUCAUUCAAAUCAAUAUAAUAAAUAAAUAAAUGAAUAAUAUAU
rnacentral:misc_RNA from 1 species